GGCAGUAUGGUGUAAUGAUGCACACGGGAUUUUCAUGCAGUUUUGACACAUUUCAUCCCAAGGUCCUUGUUCGAAUCAAGGUACUGCUC